UACGUAGGUGGCGAGCGUUAUCCGGAAUGAUUGGGCGUAAAGGGUGCGCAGGCGGUCCUGCAAGUCUGGAGUGAAACGUAUGAGCUCAACUCAUGCAUGGCUCUGGAAACUGGAGGACUGGAGAGCAGGAGAGGGCGGUGGAACUCCAUGUGUAGCGGUAAAAUGCGUAGAUAUAUGGAAGAACACCAGUGGCGAAGGCGAGAACUUAGGCUAUCACUGACGCUUAGGCUCGAAAGUGUGGGGAGCAAAUAGG
rnacentral:rRNA from 1 species